rnacentral:rRNA from 1 species
UACGUAGGAGGCAAGCGUUGUCCGGAAUUACUGGGCGUAAAGCGCGUGUAGGUGGUGGGACAAGUCUGCUGUGAAAGCGCCUGGCUUAACCGGGCGAGGUCGGCGGAAACUGUCCGACUCGAGGACGGUAGAGGGGGGUGGAAUUCCCGGUGUAGUGGUGAAAUGCGUAGAGAUCGGGAGGAACACCAGUGGCGAAGGCGGCCCUCUGGGCCGGGCCUGACGCUGAGACGCGAGGGCGUGGGGAGCGAACGGG